AAAUACGAAGUACCGAUUUGACAGAAAGAAGAAAUGAAACCAUGGAGGGAGUAACAACCAGUCAGGCGUUUCUUUUCCUUGUUUUUUCUUUCUUUCAUUUUCUGUCUUUCUUUCUUUCUUUUUCUA
rnacentral:ribozyme from 11 species